rnacentral:rRNA from 1 species
UACGAAGGGGGCUAGCGUUGUUCGGAUUUACUGGGCGUAAAGCGCACGUAGGCGGAUCGAUCAGUCAGGGGUGAAAUCCCAGAGCUCAACUCUGGAACUGCCUUUGAUACUGUCGAUCUGGAGUAUGGAAGAGGUGAGUGGAAUUCCGAGUGUAGAGGUGAAAUGCGUAGAUAUUCGGAGGAACACCAGUGGCGAAGGCGGCUCACUGGUCCAUUACUGACGCUGAGGUGCGAAAGCGUGGGGAGCAAACAGG